UACGGAGGGUGCUAGCGUUGUUCGGAUUUAUUGGGCGUAAAGCGAGGGUAGGUGGUCUAGUGUGUCUGGGGUGAAAGCCCUGAGCUCAACUCAGGAAUUGCCUCAGAAACUGCUGGACUAGAGUCCUGGAGAGGGUCGUGGAAUUCCCGGUGUAGCGGUGAAAUGCGUAGAGAUCGGGAGGAACACCAGAGGCGAAAGCGGCGACCUGGACAGGCACUGACACUGAACCUCGAAAGCGUGGGUAGCAAACAGG
rnacentral:misc_RNA from 1 species